CUCGAUAAAGGCAAACCCCGAGUGAUCGGGGGACGCAAAACCACGGAUCCGUUCAUCGCGGAUGGCCGGGUUACCGAAG
rnacentral:ncRNA from 1 species